AAGAAAGGAAAGUGAAAGGGCAAUGGAUGGUGAAGGAAGCGCGCCUUUCACUUCUCUUUUCUUCUCACUCACCAUUCCUUUUCCUUUCUUUUCUUUUCCCUUUGGCUUCUUUCGUGCUUUCUUUUCACUACAUUACAAAGAAGCCAAAGAGGAAAAGGAAAAGAAGGGAAAAGAAUGAAGUGAGUGAAAU
rnacentral:ribozyme from 1 species